GGAUUGCAGCUCUAGUUAGAUUGGCAGAUAGAAAUAGCAUUUUGAUUGGAGGCGUUUUUUAAAACCAUUAUCGUUCCCUUUCAUCUCCGCAAAUUAUGGAACAUCGUGGCUCGGUUUGGCGCAUCUUUUGAAGUUUAGUUUUGUUUAGAAUUAUAAGCAAGCGUUAGGUUAGAGUUCUGGAGUAGCGCGAUGCCUCUGAACACCUUGAUUUUCAUAGCUGUUGGGCCCAGUAUUCUUACUGCCGUCUCUCCCCCCCCUAAUAUUGUGCCCCAAUGAUUCGUAUCCUGAAGGGCUGAUCCCACAGACAAGUUUGUAAGUCCCAAGUCCCUAAACCUACUGAGGAGAGGCUGUCUAUCUUCCACAUAUCUCAUACAAGCCCAAAUAACGUGAUCUAUUCUUUCCACCACCUUACAAAGCUCAGAAUAUUCAGAACCUUCUUCAAGCACUGUACAAUCCACUCUGAAGAGCCCAAUGUCCUGUUAAGACUCUAAAUAUACUGUUUUGUUUUUGCCACCCUUUCAGAUGAAAUAAAUCCUCCAAAACUGGGGAAAAAGGAAACAGCCCUCGGCCUGUAGAAUUUGCCUAUUGCCUUUGCCACUCAUCCAACAUCUCUUUAACCCAGUUCCUAACCUCUUAACCAGGCUACAUGGUAAACUAAGUGGGGGAUGGGUGGGGCGAAGGUUGGCUGGUGGUGAGACCAUGAGUCUGCAUCAGGUUGACUAGGAAGUUGUGAAAGUUGGAUACAGUCCAGAGCCUUGGCACAAUGGAAAUCUCACUUGUAUAUGCAAACAAAACUACAUGCAAUUUUUUUAAAAAAAAGACGGAUGUUCUGCCCGUGGAACCACGCGUAAAACGUUAAGAAGGUGAAGCGGAACCACAUUCUUUUUGUUCUUGGUGUUGAUGAUCUGAACUUCUUCAGCAGAUACAGGUGUAUUUGAACCUAGGCCUGCAUGCUUUCUGCGCAGCUGAAGUUUGAUCUGUCAGACAUUGAAUUCUUGGCUUGAGUUUUUCUGGUGAAUACUGGCUCAGCAUUCAUUUGGAAAUCACUGUGGCAACUGGGUGGAUGCUAAGUUUUAGGAGCUUUCUUCGGCAAACUGAAAGAAUACAAAAAUAUAAUUUAAGUGAGAAAGCCUGUAGAGUCCCAUCUGCAGAUGGGAAUCAAAUCAGAGAAAGAUUGCUCCAAUUUGUGUGAUGCUAGGUAUUAGUUUACUUAUAUGGACAAGUACUAAAUACCUGAAUCUAAUCAAAGCCAAGAACAAACAGUAUGGUGCAGGGGUGAGACUGCAAAUCGUGGAUCUGGGAAACUCAGAUAAGAAUUCAACAAUGGAACCUGACUGCCUUUGGCUAAUCGCUAUUUCCAAGUGUAUCUCAGUAUUGUUGCAAGACCAAAAUGCUGUGCUAAGCACUUUUAACAAGGACAGGAUACAAAUGUAGUAAUAAUCCAUCUACGAAUGCUUCAUAAUAAUAUUAGUGUACCUGCUGACAACCUGCUCACCAUGUGAAUCAAUGAUCUUAUAUUACUGUAUAAUUUAAGACUGAAGUAUUUUAUUAUGUUCUUUGCAGACAAUACAAUUUUCAUUCUUUUUGUUAUGUUAUGUGCCUAUUUGUAUAAUGGAACAAGCAAUAUUCUGCCUUUGCCAAUAUAAAUACUUAAAUAAAUUUCUUUUGAAUUCCAA